CAUGCACUGGUGGGGUCCCUUGGCCUGGCCUGCGGGGAUCGGGCUGAAACUGGCUCUCUGACAUCCCCCAAGGGGUCCCAGAUCACAAGAGGGUGCAGGCCAGGCCAAGGGACCCCCCAGUGCACG
rnacentral:pre_miRNA from 1 species